rnacentral:rRNA from 1 species
UACGGAGGGUGCAAGCGUUAUCCGGAUUCACUGGGUUUAAAGGGUGCGUAGGUGGAAUGGUAAGUCAGUGGUGAAAUCUCCAAGCUUAACUUGGAACUGCCGUUGAUACUAUCAUUCUUGAAUAUCGUGGAGGUAAGCGGAAUAUGUCAUGUAGCGGUGAAAUGCUUAGAUAUGACAUAGAACACCGAUUGCGAAGGCAGCUUGCUACACGAUCAUUGACACUGAGGCACGAAAAGCGUGGGG